AGAGUUUGAUCUUGGCUCAGGACGAACGCUGGCGGCGUGCUUAAAACAUGCAAGUCGAACGGAGCACCCCUGAAAGAGUUUUCGGACAAUGGAAGGGAAUGCUUAGUGGCGGACUGGUGAGUAACGCGUGAGGAACCUGCCUUCCAGAGGUGGACAACAGUUGGAAACGACUGCUAAUACCGCAUGAUGUGUUUCGAUGGCAUCAUCGAGACACCAAAGAUUUAUCGCUGGAAGAUGGCCUCGCGUCUGAUUAGCUGGUAGGCGGGGUAACGGCCCACCUAGGCGACGAUCAGUAGCCGGACUGAGAGGUUGACCGGCCACAUUGGGACUGAGAUACGGCCCAGACUCCUUCGGGAGGCAGCAGUGGGGAAUAUUGGGCAAUGGGCGCAAGCCUGACCCAGCAACGCCGCGUGAAGGAAGAAGGCUUUCGGGUUGUAAACUUCUUUUAAGAGGGAAGAGCAGAAGACGGUACCUCUUGAAUAAGCCACGGCUAACUACGUGCCAGCAGCCGCGGUAAUACGUAGGUGGCAAGCGUUGUCCGGAUUUACUGGGUGUAAAGGGCGUGCAGCCGGGAAGACAAGUCAGAUGUGAAAUCCCGCGGCUCAACCGCGGAACUGCAUUUGAAACUGUUUUUCUUGAGUACCGGAGAGGUCAUCGGAAUUCCUUGUGUAGCGGUGAAAUGCGUAGAUAUAAGGAAGAACACCAGUGGCGAAGGCGGAUGACUGGACGGCAACUGACGGUGAGGCGCGAAAGCGUGGGGAGCAAACAGGAUUAGAUACCCUGGUAGUCCACGCCGUAAACGAUGAUUACUAGGUGGUAAUGGGGUAUGGACCCACCCGGUUCCCGCAGCAAACGCCAGUAAGUAAUCCACAUAGGGAGAACGUUAGCAAGAAAUGAAACUCAAAGGAAUUGACGGGGGCCCGCCCAAGCGGUGGAGCAUGUGGUUUAAUUAGAAGCAACGCGAAGAACCUUACCAGGUCUUGACAUCCAGUGCAAACAUAAGAGAUUAGGUGUUCCCUUGGGGGACGCUGAGACAGGUGGUGCAUGGCUGUCGUCAGCUCGUGUCGAGAGAUGUUGGGUUAAGUCCCGCAACGACCGCAUCCCUUGUCAUUAGUUGCCAUCAUUAAGUUGGGCACUCUAAUGAGACUGCCGGUGACAAACCGGAGGAAGGUGGGGAUGACGUCAAGUCAUCAUGCCCCUUAUGACCUGGGCUACACACGUGCUACAAUGGACGGUACAACGAGAAGCGAACCUGCGAAGGCAAGCGGAUCUCUUAAAGCCGUUCUCAGUUCGGACUGUAGGCUGCAACUCGCCUACACGAAGCUGGAAUCGCUAGUAACCGCGGAUCAGCACGCCGCGG
rnacentral:rRNA from 1 species